AUGUAAGCAACUUUUCACUUUUUUAGAUUCAUUUAAUAAAUAUGUAUGUGGUCUACAUUACAGACCACGUACAUCAUUUAUUGAAUGAACCUAAAAAGUGAAAAGUUACUUACAU
rfam:Medicago truncatula strain A17 chromosome 6, whole genome shotgun sequence.